GUAUUAAGGUUGCUCUCGACUUUGUUUCUCCUGAAAACAUCAGUGAGUGCAUUCGUUUGACUGAGGAAUUUCGUGUUCUUCCUAAGAAUCAUAGAGCCAAGGAAGAUAAACUAGAGGUAAAAAAGAUGUCUCUCCAUGCAUUAAGUAAAGCUAUGGACGAUUUGGAACAGCUUACACGGUCUUGAGAUUACAGAAGUUCAGGCAUGAUCAUCGAAAAAUACUUUGCUGUCCCGACUCAUUUCUGCCAUCUUCCCCGGCAUCUUCUUCUUCACAUUCCAGCUGAAUGUUUGGCAUUCUUGGAAUUAUUGAUUAUGACCAUUACUGAGAACCUGCAACGAACAUCUUUAGGUUUUCAUUCUUGGAUUUUUUUUCCC